UAAUUAAAUAAAUAAAAACAACGUUUUCUUCGUCUUCUCUUUUUCUGGUUCGUUUUUGCUUCAAACUGUGAACUUUCAUACUCAAAACCAUUUCUAUACAGACAAGCUUGACGCCUCGCCCUCUUCCCCUCACUUUGUAAUCUUUGAAAGUAUGGUGAAGGAGACUGCAUACUAUGAGAUAUUGGGUGUCAAUGUUGAUGCUUCCCCAGCUGAAAUCAAGAAAGCUUACUAUCUCAAGGCAAGGAUAGUACACCCAGAUAAAAAUUAUGGAGACCCUAAAGCAGCUGAAAAGUUUCAGGCACUUGGUGAAGCUUAUCAAGUUUUAAGUGAUCCUGAGAAGCGUGAAUCAUAUGACAAGCAUGGAAAGUCAGGAGUUGUACAUGAAUCAUUGUUGGACCCUUCUGCGGUGUUCGGAAUGCUUUUUGGAAGUGAAUUAUUUGAAGAGUAUGUUGGUCAACUUGCUUUGGCAUCUUUGGCAUCUAUUGAAUCCGAAGAAGAAUCUCAAGAUCCUGAAGUUCGACAGAACAAAAUUCGGGAGAAAUUGAAAACAUUGCAGAAGGAGAGAGAAGAAAAGCUUAUAACAGCUUUGAAAAAUCACCUUGAACCAUUUGUUAAUAACCGUACUGAUGAAUUCGUGGAAUGGGCAAGUUCGGAGGCACAACGUCUCUCAAAAGCUGCUUUUGGUGAGGCUAUGCUGCAUACAAUUGGCUACAUUUACACGAGGAAAGCUGCAAAAGAACUGGGAAAAGAUAAGCGGUUAUUGAAGGUUCCCUUUCUGGCGGAGUGGGUACGAGAUAAAGGACACCAGAUAAAGUCUCAAGUAAUGGCAGCUUCAGGUGCUGUAUCUUUAGUUCUAAUUCAGGAAGACAUGAAGAAGAUAAACCAAAGAGAAAACAAAGAGGAGAACCUAAUGAAAGCAAUGGAAGAUAAAAUGGAUGUCAUGCUUAAUUCCCUAUGGCAAAUUAAUGUCGUUGACAUCGAGACAACUUUGUCACGUGUCUGCCAAGCGGUCCUUAGAGACCCUAAUGUACCUAAGGAGGUUCUGAAGCAUCGGGCCCAAGCACUAAAAAAAUGUGGGACAAUUUUCCAAGGUGCCAAAGCUCCUUACAGUAGAGACAACAGCCUUCGCCGAGAAGCCGACAUUACAGUCAAUGCUGCUUCAUCAUCCUAGUCCUAUUCCCUAGCUGCAGGACACCCGCGUUGCGUGAAAAUGAAGACAUAAAAAGGAGCCUUCAGAGUCUUCGUGGAAUGAUGUUCCAUUCUUGAAUAUUUCGUAUGGAGAGCUCUUGAAAGCCACUGAUGGGUUUUCUCCAGAAAAUCUCAUUGGUACUGGCAGCUUUAGCUCGGUGUUUAAAGGAGUUCUUGAACCAGACCAACUAUCUGUAGCAGUGAAGGUGUUCAACCUGCAAAGAAGAGGAGCUUCCAAGAGAUUUAUGGCGGAAUGUGAAACACUAAGAAGCAUUCGACAUCGAAAUCUUGUGAAAAUCAUAUCUGCUUGCUCGAGUGUUGACUACCAAGGUAAUGAUUUCAAAGCCCUCAUCUAUGAGUUCAUGUCGAAUGGAAGUUUAGAAGAUUGGCUACAUCCGAAGCCACGAACAGGAGAAUGUCAAAUGAGAAUUCUAACUCUGUCUCAACGAUUAAACAUGGUCGUUGAUGUGGCUUUGGCAUUAGAUUAUCUUCAUGACCAUGGCGAUAGUACAUUGUGACCUUAAGCCAAGGAACAUUCUUCUUGACCAAGAUAUGACUAUCCACGUAGCCGAUUUUGGUUUGUCUAGGAUUAUGGAAGAUGACAUUGAUGAUAUCCAAAUCUCUCAGCCAAAUUGAAGCUCAGUUGCAGUAAGAGGAACAGUUGGAUAUGCAGCUCAGAAUAUGGCAUGGGAAGCAAGGUUUCAACCGAGGGAGAUGUAUACAGUUUUGGUAUCCUCUUGUUGGAGAUAUUCACAGGGAAAAGACCCACUGAUGAUUAUGUCGAAGAUGGCAUGAGUCUUAAUCGAUUGGUUUUCGCUUUACACAAAAAUGCAGUGAGGGACAUUGUUGAUCAGAGUAUAAUGAUUGAAUUUAGGCAAGAGGGCAACACAGUGAUGGAAACGAGUUUACAUAAAAUGCAUGAAUGUUUGGUUUCGAUACUUGCGAUUGGAGUCAAGUGUUCAGAAGAAUCAUUAAGAGAAAGGAUGAAGAUUAGUGAUGCUCUUAAAAAACUGCAAGAAAUUACAAGUAUAGUUCUUAAAAAUAAUAUCUGAGGAAAUUAGGGAUAGAAAGGCCGGUGGCGAGUGGGACCUAAGAGCUUCGUGAUGUAUUCGUUGGGGACCAUAUAGUCGAGGAAGAUCAUGCAGGACUAUUUUUAUUUUAUUUUAUUAAAACAUGUUAUUUUAAAAAAGUUUUAUUUAAAUAUUGUUUAUUUUUAUUUAAUAGACAAUUAUGUUAUUUUUUGAAAAACCAUGGCCAUGUAUUUAUUUUCAAGUUUUUAUUCAAUAAAAGAGCAAUAUUUACGAUUA